AUUGAACACUGGCGGCAUGCUUUACACAUGCAAGUCGAACGGCAGCGCGGGCUUCGGCCUGGCGGCGAGUGGCGAACGGGUGAGUAAUGCAUCGGAACGUGCCCAGUAGUGGGGGAUAGCCCGGCGAAAGCCGGAUUAAUACCGCAUACGACCUGAGGGUGAAAGCGGGGGACCGAAAGGCCUCGCGCUAUUGGAGCGGCCGAUGUCGGAUUAGCUAGUUGGUGGGGUAAAGGCUUACCAAGGCGACGAUCCGUAGCUGGUCUGAGAGGACGACCAGCCACACUGGGACUGAGACACGGCCCAGACUCCUACGGGAGGCAGCAGUGGGGAAUUUUGGACAAUGGGGGCAACCCUGAUCCAGCCAUGCCGCGUGCGGGAAGAAGGCCUUCGGGUUGUAAACCGCUUUUGUUCGGGAAGAAAUCCUCUGGGCUAAUACCCCGGGGGGAUGACGGUACCGGAAGAAUAAGCACCGGCUAACUACGUG
rnacentral:rRNA from 1 species